UCUUCUUUGAUUUACCACAGUUAUUAUACCAUAGCUACUGUGUAUUUGUGCGUAAUCUCAGCUGUACGGACGAACAUUCUUGCUUCUGAAGCUCAGAUUCUUUCUCUCUCUCUCUCUAUAUAGAGUUGUCUUCUUCUGUUUGAUAUCUUUUGUCCUGGACCUCGCUUCAGAAGUGGAGGUUCAUCUUCAACUUGGACUUCACUUUGUUUCUUACUAAAAUGAGGUGAUUUACCAUUUUAAGUAGCUAAUGGCACCUGCUUUUAGUAAAUCAUUACUCAUUUUAAUCAUUUCCUUAAAAAGUAUCAUUAGUAAUAGUACUCUAAAAGAAGCUGAUUAGUUAAGAAAAAAAUAGCAUCUUUGUUUUUGUGGGUGUUCCUAAUCUUCAUUGUACAGUGAAAAAUUAUUUCUUCUUGUCCCUUUCUGUAUAAUUUUCUUAAUUAAUAUUUCAAAAUAUAGAGAAUGGCUUCCAUGAUUGCAUUGGUUGUUCUUGCAGGUUCUUGGUAGUUGGUGAUGAAGAAACAAAAAUUACAUUAAGUCAUUGUUCUUUAAAAUAUUUGUCUCUCUUUCUAUUUAAAAGAUAAUGCCAGUCUUCUUACCUAUCCUUAUGAGGCUGUAAAAAAGUUAAUGCAUAGUUGAGGCAGGGACCAGAUGGUUGGUAUAUUUAUUAAUAUCACCUGAAUGAGAAGAAGAAACUUGUUUUCAUAGCAACAAAGAAGGAAAAAAAACUUGGGUUUGUUCUCUCUUCAGAAAAAGAAGCAAUAGAAAUUUCAAUAGAGAAGAAGAAAGGAUGAUGCUAAUGAGAAGAAGGUUGGGUUGCCGCAGCAGGGAGAUGGAGAUGCGCAUUGAUUUUGAUGAACAAGAUAGUAAGUACUACCCUCUCCACCCUUAUUAUAUCAUUCUUACACUAACCAUUAUUCCUUGAAGUCUGAAUCUUAGUUGAUAUGAAUUACAAACUAGAAGAAAAACUAAAACCUUACCUUUAUUUUAGCUUUUAGGUGUUUCAAUUGUAGGUGUCUACUGAUAUGGAAUGUUUAAGACUAUAACAGUUGGGUAUAGUUUUCAAAUACAAGUGAGUGGCCACUCCAUUUGUGUCUUGUGGCCGGUUUAGGAUUGGUAUGGGACCAAUGUCAGACUCUUAAAUCGGACGUGAAUUAUGUAGCUUUCCACGAUACAUCAGUGCAUACAUUCAAUUUGAUUCAAGAACAUUUUGUGGGAUUCAGUGUCCUACUUUCUUUGGAAGUGGGGGUUAAGUAGUAGUGAGGGUCCUUUAAGUUUUCUCAUUUGUUUAAAGAUCAUUGAUUAUAUUUAUUCAGAAACUGCCGAGAGUAGGUAGUUAAUUGGUUUCACAUGGUCACUAAGACUAAAUAAUUCAUAAAAGAAAAUUCAAAUUGAAGUAAAAUGUGGUUACAUAAAUAACUCCACAAGGAAGAAGAAUCCAUAUCCUCUUUCAAAUUUCAAGGGAAGAUAUAAGCAUUAAUUAAAAUCAAAACACUAUUUUUGUUUGAUUAAACAAUCUUUGUUACAUGCUAUGGAAGUUUGAAAAAUGUUAUGCCUCUCGACAAGUGAUUAAAAGUCUUGGUGGUGGGUCUGUCUAGAACUUGCACUACAUAGGGAUAUUAAUUCAUUGUUUUUAGUUAUUAAAGACUUUUAGAAUCUUUCUAAGAUGAUAUUUUACUAUUCAUUUUAGAACUAAUAAUGACACAUUAACAUAAUGUUAAUAUAAGCCCACAAUUAUAUAUGUUCCUUUUUAUUUUCACACAUUUUAAGUAUAUAAUGUUUAUUUUUAUCAUAUUUAAUAUGCAAUCGAAUAACUAUACAUGGUGCAUCCUGUGCUUUAGCAUGAAUUUGUUAGCAGUACUUUUUUAUAAAUUGAAGCUGGUUUACAGAUUUUGAAAAAUAAAAAUCUUAAGUGUUUUUCUAUUCAAGUUGGAUGUUUGUAACCUUAACUUUAAGUACUUGGCAAUACAUAGGUCGGUAACUUAUAGUGUAUAUAGCUGUAGGUUACAUACUACGUAGUUAUAUAUAAGUGAUGUCAUGAUAUCAAAUGUGAAUAAGAAAACUCUCCUUUACAACUGGUAAGUGUUCUUGACAGAUUUAGAGAACCCUCAACAUUUUUUGGAAACAGAAAGAAAGACAUAAUAAAAUUUUUGAGAUUUGAAAAAGAGACUUUCACUCUCCUAAAAAGUUUUCUCCCCCUUCUCUCUAGUCUAACUUUCCAUUAACGCCGCAUCUCUCUGCUCCGGUACUGGUGGUCCCUUAGACCAGCGUCGGAGGCUCCCGUUAGCUUCUUCCUCUUUUUGUUUGCUCCAUCGACUCCUCUCUUUCCUCGUUCAGUCCUGCCUUAGCCCUGGUUUUGUCACGCUGCCUCAGGUCCUUCAUCUACUCGCGAUAGAUCCAGCGGCUAGGGCGUUAGCGUAGGCAGAUCUGGUGUGACGGCGACAAUUUGUGUGAGGGACUGUCGGUUGGGGUCGGAUACGAGGGUGGUCGGCGCCGUUUGUAUCUUCGCUGGAGCUCUCUCAGUUGAUUUGACUUGGUACCAUGGCGAGGUAGAGGAGAGCGUCUGGACCGGCGUCGAUCUUCUCUCACGCUUGUUCAAAUCGCUGGAGAUCCCUCUCAGUUACUUUUUCCCAGAUCUAGGGUUUCGACCUCGAGAGUUAGGGCGCGUGGAGUCAAGGUGCGACUUCUUCCCGGCGAAUCUUCAUUGCUGGGUCUCCUUCGAGUGGCUCCUGUUAGGUUUGUGCCUUAUGGCUGGGUUUAGGUCUCGGUUUCUUGGCUUCGGCCAUAUCCACUUUGCUCUCGGAAGAUCCUACUACUGGUUCUCAGAUGUGGGUGCGUGUGAGGAGCCUCUGUUCUCGGUGUUGUCGCCCGAGUUUAGUUGGUUUCUGUGGCAGCACGUGAAGAGUCACGAGACAGCAUCCACGUCUCUUUGUUGGUCUCUGUCUUACGGAGGAAGGUUCUUGACUGUGGCAACUCGUCCGUCUCUCUCUCUCCACAAUAAAGUAUCAUCUGUAGGAGGUAAUGCUUCUUUGGAAGUGUUGGUCUGUUGAGUAUGGAUAGGAGUUAGUUUGGCAAUCGGUCCUCUUGCUAGUUUAAAGGUCGUUUUCUCCGGAGGAGGUGUGCCCGAUGUGUCCCAUUGCUCUAUAUGUGCGGUGGGUUAAAUGGGUGUAUACGGUCCUGGGGUUGGAGGAUUGGAGGCAGCAAUCUCCACUUCACCAUCCCGGACGACGGCACUGCCGGUCUGUGGACUCCUCCUCGUGUUGCUGGUGAGGCGAUUUUGAACGGACUUGCGGUUCCGUGAUGGGUUUCUUUGUGUUAGUGUUGAUGAUUGAGUCUCUUGGAAGCUGUAGGCCUUUGCCCGGUGCUUCAAGGUUUAGGGGUGCCUUUCUCUCCGGGAGCUCGCGGCAACCGGGAGCUUAGUCCGCUCAUACCUCUGCUUUGGACCAUCGACACUACGCUACUUCCGGUCCUUCUCUUUGAUCUUUCUUCUUCCAUUUAGAAUCAGAAUUUCUUAUAAGUGCUCUGUUUAGUUUAAUUAUUGUUCUUCCGCUACUUGUCUUCUUCGUUCUUCCGUAUAAAAUUAAAAAUUUGGUAUAAUAAAUUUAACAUUUUACUAAAAAUUUUUUUUUUUUUUGAGAUUUAUAAAAAAAAAAAGAUAUCUAGGAUGUGUCAAUCAUAAAGUCCAUGGCAUGCUUCAGGACCUUUUUGUGUUUCUUUUAAGAUAAAAUACACGAAAGUUGUUUACAUCUAUAUAUAUAAGGGCUUAUUUGCCAAAUAACCAAAAAAAAAUGAAAAAUUAGAUUUUGGGAGAGAGAGUAGAGAGAGAUAGGAAGAGAAAGUAGAAGAGAGGAGAGGAUUUUGGUUAGUUAGUGUAUUUAAUUUUUUUUCAUGUAUAUAGGGUGCAAUUUCCCUAUAUAUAAAGUAGAGUUCCCUCUCUCCAGGGCCCUCCACGUCAGAUUCCACCUAAGAAAUUCAGGUCUUCUGGUGUCAACACGUGUCUUCCUACACUUCGGGUGAUUUCGCCAUUAACUUCAACCAUUAUUUCUUUCUUAAAAGCAUAGAACUGACAAAAUCACAGAGCACUCUUAGACUUCCCUUAUUAUUAAUGUAUUCAUUAGAUUCUUCAAGUUUCCUUUACAGCUUCUCCAAUUCGUUUCUUUUUGCUUUUGGAUUUUCGAUUUUAUAAGAAUUCUUCAAUCCUCCGAUUUCUUUUGAAGCGCCUGAGACGAAGAAACUGGUGACAAACUAUGGAUACCUCCCGAGAGAUCCAACUUUCGUCUCCCUGUCAAGAAAGAAAACAAGUUAAUCUAGAAACAGACAUCUUUGCUUGGCCUGCGGAAUCUCCAUUUUCGGCAGCGGCGGCUCUGACCGGCUUGAUAAUAUCUAUUUUCUCCGGCCAUCUAUCGCGUAGGGUUUUCUGAUUCUUCGAUCUAAAGGAGACAAAACUGCUUAAAUCGGCAUGACGCUUCGGUUUGUAAAGGGUUUCGAUCACGUCCUUACACCUUCUUCCAUCAAUCUGAACAAAUUCUUCCAGAUUCAUCGCAUUAAAAAGAUCGUCGAAGGAUUCAGACAUGGUGAAGAUCGCUCCUAGAAAUCCAGAAAGAACAGGAGAGAGACCAUGAUCAAGGAGAGAAUCAGAAACUGAGUCUAUAUUAAGCCUUUAGUCUAAAGACCCUACUUGCAGAUUAUCUGCUUCUGAUAGCUUACAAAGGUAUACAUAUCUACCAUCUUAUGUACACACAAAAAAAAAUCUCUGCUCUGUUUGGUAUCGACUAUCUGAGUCACCCUUUGCUUAUAGUUAAAUGUAUGAUUAAUAAGAAGGCCAUUUUCUGCAUCCCAAGGAUCGGGUGACUCAUCAUCAUCAUUCCCUUACUUUCUUGAACUAAAUUGUUUCAUGAUAUCUCAUACUAAAGACUGUUGCAGAUAGAAUAAGCGGGUGUGUUCGAAUGCGCAUAGUGGCUUUGAUAGUUUCUGCCUUUAAGUUAUCUUCCCUUAAGUGUCGUUACUGUGCUUCAGUGUCAACUUAUAUCCUUUGUGGACACUCAGAUCUCUUUAUUUCCAUUCACGUUCUUAGUAAGACCUUAUUGUGUCUAAUUUAUGAGCUUCUUACUGAGGCUUUUCUGGACUUUAAGCUACUGAUGAAUCUCAUGUGUAUUUGUGCUUCUAAAAUUGGAAUGUAUUCCUCUUGAGUUUUUGUGAAUUGAUUUAAAUGUUAUUGGUCAUAAUUGGAUCGGUAUUACAUUGCCCUUCAACAAAUCGUAAUUCACAGUGUGAACAUACAUACGUUUGUGAACAUACAUACAUACGAAUUGUGAAGCAUUCAUAGUCUUCUCUAUUAUUCCAGCCUCCACAAUAAGACUUUCUCAAGUAAUGAAGUGUUACUAUCUUCUUUUUGCAGCUACAUACGUUUGAGUUGCUAUUAUAGUUAAUGUGCACAUUAAGAUAAUGCAGAGAUGAAUGUCUGAAUCUCAGUUUUCAGUUGCAAAAGCUGAGGAAGAUAAUGAUGAAAAGCAUAAACCAUCAACUCAGGCUCUCAGCUAUCAUAAUAUUUCUCAGUCUCAAUCCGUUCAUUCAUAGCAGGAAUUCAGAGUAGUUACCAAGACCUAAGCUUUUACCAGGCUUACAUGUUCAAAGCACCUAUGGUUACAGUCAAAAAUGGUUCUUCCUCUCGGUAUGGUCUCAUGCUCAACUGACAUUAGCCUCCCACUGUGUCAUAAACAGCUAUGUGGUAACAAUGCAGCCAGUAUCCGCAAUGUGUGAUUGGCAAGUUUGGGCAUACCUGCAAAUUUGUUCACUCCAUGAGCUCUCAUUCUUCUUCCUUAAGCUACAGCCCGAUGGUUUCUUCAGUCAUUGACAUGCCCCUCACACCUUACCCUCUUGAGUCCUCAUUGCUCAGCACAUUAGCACCCUCUUGAGUCCUCAUUGCUCAGCACAUUAGCUCCAUCAUCAUCAUCCUCAGAUGAAAACGCACAGAGCUUCACUCUUCGAGCUCCAAGAAAACUCAAAACCACAACACAAGUGGUGGCUCUGAACCGUUGCUGCUGAAGUCUCUCCGUCUUCUUCUUUGACAACCAGCCAGAGCCAUUCUGAUCCUGCUAAGACCAAAAAGAAUACCCAGUUAGCAUUGAGUUUAAGACUUAGAAGUUAAAGAUACAAAGCUCAAAGGGGAGAACCUCACUCUACUUCUUCUAUUGUUCCUCUAUCGCUCUUUUCUUUUUAUCAAACUUGCAUGAACUGAGGACAUGAAAGAUGUCUAUAAACUAUAAACAUGUUUGGGACCAAGUAAGAUAGAUUGAACUAUAAUGAGUUUUUUUUUAAUAUAUGAAAAAAAGAAACUAAAAAUAUUUGUGUAUAGCUUUGAUAAAAAAACUGAUCAUUGUAAUUUUUUAUGCAUAGCUCUUGCAUUUCGUUAA